UGCCGGAUAGCUCACUCGGUAAAGCAUCGCGUUGCGAACUAGAAGUGUCGCGGGUUCGACCCCCGCUUCGUAC